AAUUGUGUCGGUCGCAACUAGAAACGAAGUGGAGACUCACAAUUUCUUUCGUAGCAAUUAUGACAACUUGUGACUGACCCUAUCUCUGACCAAAGGCCACUCUUUCUGCGGCUGGUAGUCCGCAUCUUCACAGACAUGUCUAUUUCACCGAGCCUCUCUCCGAGACAGUGCCCAGAUCGUUACGCUGCCUCAUUCUUUCUUUGUUAUAUAUUCAUUCGAAUCUUUGGCUUCGUUUUCUCUCUUCUUCAUAUCUAGCAAAAAAUAAAAAAUUCUUUCAUAUUCAUUCUAAAAUUUUGCAUUUGAGUAAACCAUCUCUUUUUUUCCUUUAAUUCUAUUCUAUUAUCUUCUUCUUUGUAACAAAAAAUGUCUUCAAGCAAUAAUAUAUAAAUCGUAAGAAAGUGGAUAUAUAAUCG